AAACAGAGAAGCGCCAUGGUGUACCAUGGCUUGAGGAGAUGCAUAUGUCGGAAUUUUUGUGUGUUGCUGGAACAUGGUUUGCAUCACUACAUUCUAAGUGUAUAAUGUGAAGGUGGACAGAUCAGCCUAAUUACUAACGGAAUUUGAUACCUUUCAACGAGACGAUUCAGAAGAUAUAUGGAUGACUAUAUGGGUGUGU